rnacentral:rRNA from 1 species
GUGGGGAAUUUUGGACAAUGGGCGAAAGCCUGAUCCAGCAAUGCCGCGUGUGUGAAGAAGGCCUUCGGGUUGUAAAGCACUUUUGUCCGGAAAGAAAUCCUUUGGGUUAAUACCUCGGAGGGAUGACGGUACCGGAAGAAUAAGGACCGGCUAACUACGUGCCAGCAGCCGCGGUAAUACGUAGGGUCCGAGCGUUAAUCGGAAUUACUGGGCGUAAAGCGUGCGCAGGCGGUUUUGUAAGAUCGAUGUGAAAUCCCCGGGCUCAACCUGGGAACUGCAUUGGUGACUGCAAGGCUGGAGUGCGGCAGAGGGGGAUGGAAUUCCGCGUGUAGCAGUGAAAUGCGUAGAUAUGCGGAGGAACACCGAUGGCGAAGGCAAUCCCCUGGGCCUGCACUGACGCUCAUGCACGAAAGCGUGGGGAGCAAACAGGAUUAGAUACCCCGGUAGUCC